rnacentral:rRNA from 1 species
CGCAUCUGUGCAUGCAGCAUAUCAAUAAGCGGAGGAAAAGAAACUAACAAGGAUUCCCCUAGUAACGGCGAGUGAAGCGGGAAGAGCUCGAAUUUGAAAUCUUAAAGGGUUUCCCUUUACGAAUUGUAGUUUAAAGAAGUGUUUUCUGUUGAGGUUUUGGUAAAAGUUCUUUGGAAUAGGACAUCAUAGAGGGUGAGAAUCCCGUAUUUGACCUUUACUUUCAACUUUGUGAUACACUUUCAAAGAGUCGGAUUGUUUGGGAAUGCAGUCCAAAAUGGGUGGUAAAUUUCAUCUAAAGCUAAAUAUUGGCGAGAGACCGAUAGCGAACAAGUACCGUGAGGGAAAGAUGAAAAGAACUUUGAAAAGAGAGUUAAACAGUACGUGAAAUUGUCAAAAGGGAAGCGUUUGACACCAGUGUUGUUUUUCUGAAAAUCAAUUAAAGAACUGUUUAUGCUAAGUUGUUUAGACUUUAUCAGCUAUCUGCUUAGUUUUGAGCUUUUCUUUAAUGCACUUUUCAGUUAACAAGUCAACAUCAAUUUCUUUUGCUGUAAAAAAGCUUGAGGAAGGUGGCUUGAGAUUCGUCUUAAGUGUUUAUAGCCUCUUGCCUAUGCAGUCGGAGAGAUUGAGGUCUGCAGCGUAGAUCCUUCGGGGCUAAAUGCAUUUGUGCUAAGUUAUAGCAUUUUAUAGACAACUUGUUGACUAUGAUUUGUCUUGUAGCUUACUCGCUUAUGUUAUUUUACCUACGCUUAGGAUGUUGAAUCUGUGCGAGACUAC